rnacentral:rRNA from 1 species
AUUGAACGCUGGCGGCAGGCUUAACACAUGCAAGUCGAACGAGUGGCGGACGGGUGAGUAAUGUUUGGGAAUCUGGCUUAUGGAGGGGGAUAACGACGGGAAACUGUCGCUAAUACCGCGUACCAUAGGAUGAGCCCAAGUGGGAUUAGGUAGUGGGUGGGGUAAUGGCUUACCAAGGCGACGAUCCCUAGCUGGUCUGAGAGGAUGACCAGCCAGACGGGAACGGAGACACGGCCCGGACUCCUACGGGAGGCAGCAGUGGGGAAUAUGGCGCAAGGGGGGCAAGCUGAUGCAGCCAUGCCGCGUGAAUGAAGAAGGCCUUCGGGUUGUAAAGUUCUUUCGGUGAGGAGGCGUUAAUCGCAGAAGAAGCACCGGCUAACUCCGUGCCAGCAGCCGCGGUAAUAC